rnacentral:rRNA from 1 species
UACGUAGGCAGCGAGCGUUGUUCGGAAUUACUGGGCGUAAAGAGUGUGUAGGUGGUGUCGUAAGUUUGGUGUGAAAUCUCCCGGCUUAACUGGGAGGGUGCGCCGAAGACUGCGAUGCUGGAGUAUGGGAGAGGAAAGCGGAAUUCCGGGUGUAGCGGUGGAAUGCGUAGAGAUCCGGAAGAACACCGGUGGCGAAGGCGGCCUGCUGGGCAGUGGCUGACACUGAGGCGCGACAGCGUGGGGAGCAAACAGG